UACGUAGGGGGCAAGCGUUAUCCGGAUUUACUGGGUGUAAAGGGGCCGCAGACGGCGAUGCAAGCCAGGAGUGAAAGCCCGGGGCCCAACCCCGGGACUGCUCUUGGAACUGCGUGGCUGGAGUGCAGGAGGGGCAGGCGGAAUUCCUGGUGUAGCGGUGAAAUGCGUAGAUAUCAGGAGGAACACCGGUGGCGAAGGCGGCCUGCUGGACUGCAACUGACGUUGAGGCCCGAAAGCGUGGGGAGCAAACAGG
rnacentral:rRNA from 1 species